GGUGACCCCUUCUUUCCCUCUCCUAUUUCUCCUCACUCACUUCUUCUCCUCCUUCUUCAAACUUACCCAUUAGCCCUUCGUCCAUGAUGGUGCCCUCUCCACCUCCACCCCUUCUUACUGGCAACCCCUCCCUCUUCUUUUCCUCCUCACCUACUUCUCCUCCUCAUCCUCCUUCUCCAACCCCACUCAUAAGCCCCUCCUCUAUGGCGACACCCUCCAUCUCUGUCCCUUCUCAUCGAUAACACUUUAUUCUCUUCUUCUUCUUCCUCAUCCAC
rnacentral:lncRNA from 1 species